UAAUACGUAGGUGGCGAGCGUUGUCCGGAAUUACUGGGCGUAAAGGGCGCGUAGGCGGCCUGUUAAGUCAGAUGUGAAACCCCCAGGCUCAACUUGGGGAUUGCAUAUGAAACUGAUGGGCUCGAGUGUCGGAGAGGAAAGCGGAAUUCCUAGUGUAGCGGUGAAAUGCGUAGAUAUUAGGAGGAACACCAGUGGCGAAGGCGGCUUUCUGGACGAUAACUGACGCUGAGGCGCGAAAGCGUGGGGAGCAAACAGG
rnacentral:rRNA from 1 species